UGUCCCUACGGGACGCAGCAGUGAGGAAUAUUGGUCAAUGGGCGAGAGCCCGAACCAGCCAAGUCGCGUGAGGGAGUACUGCCCUAUGGGUUGUAAACCUCUUUUGUCGGGCAGCAAAAGCCGGACGUGUCCGGCUGUGAGAGUACCCGAAGAAAAAGCAUCGGCUAACUCCGUGCCAGCAGCCGCGGUAAUACGGAGGAUGCGAGCGUUAUCCGGAUUUAUUGGGUUUAAAGGGUGCGCAGGCGGAUUUUUACGUCAGCGGUCAAAUC
rnacentral:rRNA from 1 species